AGCAACACCUGACUUGACCAACGCUUGACUCGGUGAUCAAUAGGUGAGUAGGAGGACCUCCUAGCUAUUAAUGGGUCUAUCAGAUGCAGGGAGAAGUGUUCUUAGAAGUUCAAAACCCUGGAGAUGCUGUGGAUUUUUCAGUGGCUAAAGGAAGUCCUUCUUCACAUGGUGCAUAGUUAAACUAUGGAAUUAGAUAUUAUUUUUUAUUAUUAUUAGGGACGCGGGUGGCGCUGUGGGUUAAACCACAGAGCCUAGGACUUGCCGCUCAGAAGGUCGGCGUUUCGAAUCCACGCAAUGGGGUGAGCUCCCGUUGCUCGGUCCCUGCUCCAGCCAACCUAGCAGUUCGAAAGCACAUCAAAGUGCAAGUAGAUAAAUAGGUACUGCUCCGGCGGGAAGGUAAACAGCGCUUCCGUGCGCUGCUCUGGUUCGCCAGAAGCGGCUUAGUCAUGCUGGCCACAUGACCUGGAAGCUGUACACUGGCUCCCUCGGCCAAUAAAGCGAGAUGAGCGCUGCAACCCCAGAGUCGGUCAAGACUGGACCUAACGGUCAAGGGUCCCUUUACCUUUACCUUAUUAUUAUUAUUGUUAUUUAUAUACCGCCUUUCAUCCGAAGAUCUCACAACAUAAAAAUACAGGAUAAAAGCACAAGAAGUUGUGGUGGUCACCAACUUGGAUGACUUUAAAAGGGGAUUAGAUAAACUCAUGGAGGAAAAGGCUAUCAGUGCCUACUAGCCACAAUUCUGCCUCUCUUUGAGGCAGUAUACUUCUGAAUAUCACUUGCUGCAAAUCACAGGUGGGGAGAGCACUCUUGUACUCAACAUUUGACUGCAAGCCUCCCAUGGGCAUCAGGAUGGCCACUAUGUGAAUAGUAGAACUUUUCUUAUGUUCAAAUCAGUGAGUGAGUGAGGGUUUAACUCCAUGCCCUGCCUGUGGUCUUCCUGCUUGAAUUUGAUUGGCCACCAUGAGAACAGGAUGCUGGACCAGAUGGGUCCUUGGCCUGAUCCAGCAGGUCUCCACUGCAUGCGGUGCAUUUGUUCCAUCAUGGAACACUUUUUCUAGCAGCCCAGGUAGCUGUAGCUGAUCAGACCAUUGGUCCAUCUUGACUACUAGCAGCGGCAUUCCAAGGUGUCAGGCAAAGGUUUAUCCCAAGUUUCCACAAACCGGUGGGCUACCGAUGUUUUGAACUACAAGACCCACCAUUCCUGAUCAUUGGCCAGGCUGACUAAUGGGAUUGAUGGGAGCUGUAGUCCAAACUAUUCCCCAAGCUGGGGGAAAGACUGGUCUCUCCUUUCAACUGGAGACUUCAAACGUAAAACCUUCUGCUUGCAAAGCAUGUGAGGUCCUGCCAACAGAUAGUCCUUCUCAAGGGACAUAGAGCUAUUCAGUGCUUUGAUCAGAUUAUAUAUUUGCAUAGACAUAAGUCAUACCUCGAGUUGCGUUUGCUUCACAUUGUAUUUUUUCAGGUUAAGAACGCGGCAAACCCAGAAGUGUUUGCUUCCGAGUUUGCCACAUUGCGCAUGCGCAGGAGCAAUCUGUGUGCUUCGUGCAUGCGCAGGAGCGCUCUAUCACGUCACACACACAGAGAGAGAAGCAGUGCUCCACUUACGGACUUUUCAGGGUGCGAACGGCACCCCGGAAUGGAUUGCAUCUAUAAGUAGAGGUACCACUGUAUAUGGAGGAACCUUUGUGUAAUUUAUUUGAAUUUUUAGGAUAUGCACAUCAUAGAAUUGUAGAGUUGGAAGGUACACCAAGGGUCAUCUUGUCCAAUCUCCUCCAAUGCAGGAAUAAAAACAUAGAAACAUCAGAACAUAGGAAGCUGGAAAUACAAGAUGCUUCCUUCCAUGGUAUCAGACAAUUGGACAAUAUAGCUCAGUAUUGCCUACACUGAUUGGCAGUAACUCUCUGGGGUUUUGUGCAAGCAUCUCUCACUGUUCUACCAGGAGAUGCCAGAGAUUGAAAUGGGGACCUUUGGCAUGUCAAGCAGAUGCACUGAGCUACAGCUCAGGUCCUGAUAUUUAGGUUGGUGGUGGCAGAGAAUACCUAUAAAUGUUUGUGUUGUUUGUAGGAAAUCCCAUAGCAUAACAUAAAUCUGAAUUCCUCACAGACCUUUUUCCUCCAGUCAUUCCUGGAAUUCAGUUCCCAUCAGCCCAAGUGACCCCGGCAAAUGGUCAGGGAGCAUGUUUAAUCAUAACCCAGCAUCUUCUGGAGGGCCGCCAAAUCCCUUUGACUUCAAAGGUUCUGCUGUCUUUGAGCCCCCAAAUGACGUCAAUCUCUAUCUCUUUCUCUCUUCCCCAAGGGUUAUCCAAUCCACAGAAAAGAUGAGCCAACAACAACAAAGAGGAAGCUGCUGCUGUUGUGGUGGUAGAGGCUGUGGGUGCUGCGGUGGCAGCCGCAGUGGCGGGGGAUGUUGUGGUGGCAGCCGCAGUGUGGUUUCCUCUCAGCAGAGUCAGAGCAGCGGUGGAUGUUGUGGUGGCAGUAGCGGUGGCAGCAGAGGUGGUGGAUGCUGUGGCGGUAGCAGCGGCGGCGGAUGUUGUGGUGGCAGCAGCAGCGGCGGA